rnacentral:lncRNA from 1 species
AACAGUCAUACUGGUGGCAGGAGCACAGAGCAGUGCCUCUUGAUUGCUGGUUCAGGGGGCAUGACCCUGAGCAUUUGAGGAGAGGAGGCAUGUGGUCAGCUGUUUCAUUUUGGGGCUCUUCCUGGCCCUUAGAAGACCGAGAUGUACCCGACUACACAGAAGACGAAGUUGAAGUCACUCUUCUAGAAACCGCCUGGUGCAGAUGCCAUGGUGACAGAUAUGAAAGGAUGGGCCUUUGAACAUGGCUCAGCUCACCAGACAUGACAUCUGGA